AAGGAAAAGAAACCAACCGGGAUUGCCUUAGUAACGGCGAGUGAAGCGGCAAAAGCUCAAAUUUGAAAUCUGGUACCUUCGGUGCCCGAGUUGUAAUUUGGAGAGGGCAACUUUGGGGCCGUUCCUUGUCUAUGUUCCUUGGAACAGGACGUCAUAGAGGGUGAGAAUCCCGUGUGGCGAGGAGUGCGGUUCUUUGUAAAGUGCCUUCGAAGAGUCGAGUUGUUUGGGAAUGCAGCUCUAAGUGGGUGGUAAAUUCCAUCUAAAGCUAAAUAUUGGCGAGAGACCGAUAGCGAACAAGUACAGUGAUGGAAAGAUGAAAAGAACUUUGAAAAGAGAGUGAAAAAGUACGUGAAAUUGUUGAAAGGGAAGGGCAUUUGAUCAGACAUGGUGUUUUGUGCCCUCUGCUCCUUGUGGGUAGGGGAAUCUCGCAUUUCACUGGGCCAGCAUCAGUUUUGGUGGCAGGAUAAAUCCAUAGGAAUGUAGCUUGCCUCGGUAAGUAUUAUAGCCUGUGGGAAUACUGCCAGCUGGGACUGAGGACUGCGACGUAAGUCAAGGAUGCUGGCAUAAUGGUUAUAUGCCGCCC
rnacentral:rRNA from 1 species